rnacentral:lncRNA from 1 species
AAUUGCCCUAUUGAGUAAUGGGAAGCGGGCUAGUCCCCGAAAAUGCCCCGCCCGUAAGUUCCUUUGUCGUUGGGGAAAAAAAAAUCUCUUUUUAUUUUUAGAUUCGAAAUUCUUCGUUUUUUUCUCCCACUCUUUCUGUGAGGCAAAACCUCACCACACUACACUACACUUCGACACAAGAGAAGAGGAGUAAUGGGAAGUGGGCUAGUCCCCGAAAACGCCCGCCCGUAAGUUCCUUUGUCGUUGGGGAAAAAAUCUCUUUUUAUCUUUAGAUUCGAAAUUCUUCGUUUUUUCUCCCACUCUUUCUGUGAGGCAAAACCUCGCCACACCACACUACACUUCGACACAAGAGAAGAGGACCGGGCGCUUUCUAUCUUCGGGAUAGGAGUUGGCGGUCUUCUUUAAGAGAACUUCAAUCUAAUACUCAUUAUGGAUCAACUCAUGUUUCCACUCUAUUUUCAUUACGAAAAUAUCU